GACGUAGGGCGCGAGCGUUGUCCGGAUUUAUUGGGCGUAAAGAGCUCGUAGGCGGCUUGUCGCGUCGUCCGUGAAAACCUGCAGCUCAACUGCAGGCUUGCGGUCGAUACGGGCAGGCUAGAGUUCGGUAGGGGAGACUGGAAUUCCUGGUGUAGCGGUGAAAUGCGCAGAUAUCAGGAGGAACACCGGUGGCGAAGGCGGGUCUCUGGGACGAUACUGACGCUGAGGAGCGAAAGCGUGGGGAGCGAACAGG
rnacentral:rRNA from 1 species